CGCUCAGAUUGAACGCUGGCGGCAUGCCUUACACAUGCAAGUCGAACGGCAGCACGGGAGCAAUCCUGGUGGCGAGUGGCGAACGGGUGAGUAAUACAUCGGAACGUGUCCUGGAGUGGGGGAUAGCCCGGCGAAAGCCGGAUUAAUACCGCAUACGCUCUGAGGAGGAAAGGGGGGGCUCGCAAGACCUCCCGCUCAAGGGGCGGCCGAUGGCAGAUUAGCUAGUUGGUGGGGUAAAGGCCUACCAAGGCGACGAUCUGUAGCUGGUCUGAGAGGACGACCAGCCACACUGGGACUGAGACACGGCCCAGACUCCUACGGGAGGCAGCAGUGGGGAAUUUUGGACAAUGGGCGCAAGCCUGAUCCAGCAAUGCCGCGUGUGUGAAGAAGGCCUUCGGGUUGUAAAGCACUUUUGUCCGGAAAGAAAACUUCCUGGUUAAUACCCGGGGAGGAUGACGGUACCGGAAGAAUAAGCACCGGCUAACUACGUGCCAGCAGCCGCGGUAAUACGUAGGGUGCAAGCGUUAAUCGGAAUUACUGGGCGUAAAGCGUGCGCAGGCGGUUCGUUAAGACAGAUGUGAAAUCCCCGGGCUUAACCUGGGAACUGCAUUUGUGACUGGCGGACUGGAGUAUGGCAGAGGGGGGUAGAAUUCCACGUGUAGCAGUGAAAUGCGUAGAGAUGUGGAGGAAUACCGAUGGCGAAGGCAGCCCCCUGGGCCAAUACUGACGCUCAUGCACGAAAGCGUGGGGAGCAAACAGGAUUAGAUACCCUGGUAGUCCACGCCCUAAACGAUGUCAACUGGUUGUCGGGUCUUCAUUGACUUGGUAACGUAGCUAACGCGUGAAGUGACC
rnacentral:rRNA from 1 species